rnacentral:rRNA from 1 species
ACAACUUUCAACAAUGGAUCUCUUGGCUCUCGCAUCGAUGAAGAACGCAGCGAAAUGCGAUAAGUAAUGUGAAUUGCAGAAUUCAGUGAAUCAUCGAAUCUUUGAACGCAUCUUGCGCUCCUUGGUAUUCUGAGGAGCAUGCCUGUUUGAGUGUCAUUAA